UGAGCCGUAGCCAAGCAGGUAAGGCACCGGACUUUGACUCCGGUAUGCGGAGGUUCGAGUCCUCCCGGCUCAGCCA
rnacentral:tRNA from 1 species